rnacentral:rRNA from 1 species
UACGGAGGAUCCAAGCGUUAUCCGGAUUUAUUGGGUUUAAAGGGUGCGUAGGCGGCCUAUUAAGUCAGGGGUGAAAGACGGUAGCUUAACUAUCGCAGUGCCCUUGAUACUGAUGGGCUUGAAUACACUAGAGGUAGGCGGAAUGUGACAAGUAGCGGUGAAGUGCAUAGAUAUGUCACAGAACACCAAUUGCGAAGGCAGCUUACUAUGGUGUCAUUGACGCUGAGGCACGAAAGCGUGGGGAUCAAACAGG